rnacentral:tRNA from 1 species
GGAGGGUAUAGCUCAAGUGGUAGAGUGCAUGCUUAGCAUGCAUGAGGUCCUGGGUUCAAUCCCCAGUACCUCCA